AGGGAUAUAGCUCAGCAGCACAGCAUCUGCCUGGAAAGUUCAAGGGUCUGAGUUCGAUUCCCAGUACUCCCC
rnacentral:tRNA from 1 species